UACGUAGGGUGCAAGCGUUGUCCGGAAUCACUGGGCGUAAAGCGCACGUAGGCGGCUUUCUAAGUCAGGGGUGAAAUCCUGGAGCUCAACUCCAGAACUGCCUUUGAUACUGAGGAGCUUGAGUCCGGAAGAGGAGAGUGGAAUUCCUGGUGUAGCGGUGAAAUGCGCAGAUAUCAGGAAGAACACCUAUGGCGAAGGCAGCUCUCUGGGACGGUACUGACGCUGAGACGCGAAAGCGUGGGGAGCGAAACAGG
rnacentral:rRNA from 1 species